rnacentral:lncRNA from 1 species
UUGCCUNNNNNNNNNNNNNUCACAGGACACAAUGGCAUCAUCCCCCAGUUUCCCAUAGCAAGCUGGAGUUCAGGCCAGAUCUUCCGCCAGUAAACACUCCUGAGCACUAUCUUCUGGAGGCAAACAGCUAGAAUUGUCCACACAGCAACACCCAUCACUCAUCUCCUAGACAAGUCAGUCUUAUUACAAGAAAUAUCUCAGAAAGCAAGCUUUGAGUCAAAAAACAAGGAAGGAUUCUCACAGAGCUUAAAUCAGUUUCUUUUUCACAUUUUCUUUUAGAUCUAUUCUUCACUGCAUUAUCACUGUUUGGCAGUGCUGUAGUUCCUGCCUGCGGCCAACCUGGGAAGCUACUCCUCCAAUAUGCAGAUAUUUACCUAAUCUUUCCAGCACAGAGGUUGUUUGAUUUCGGAGGUCCAGAAGUGUUUCUGAAAUUUCACUCUGCUUCUGUGUUGGGAUGGCACCCAGGUAUGUAUUAUCUCAUUCUUUCUCCCUAAUCAAUUAUUUGAAUGGCCUAAAAAG